rnacentral:rRNA from 1 species
UACGAAGGGGGCAAGCGUUGUUCGGAAUUACUGGGCGUAAAGGGCGCGUAGGCGGAUAUUCAAGUCAGAGGUGAAAGCCCUGGGCUCAACCCGGGAAUUGCCUUUGAAACGGGAUGUCUUGAGUAUGAGAGAGGGUGGCGGAAUACCCAGUGUAGAGGUGAAAUUCGUAGAUAUUGGGUAGAACACCAGUGGCGAAGGCGGUCACCUGGCUCAUAACUGACGCUGAGGCGCGAAAGCGUGGGGAGCAAAC